rnacentral:rRNA from 1 species
GAAGUUAAGAAGGGCGCAUGGGGAAUGCCUAGGCUCUCAGAGGCGAGGAAGGACGCGAUAAGCUGCGAUAAGCUCCGGGGAUCGGCACAUACGACUCGAUCCGGAGGUCUCCGAAUGGGGCAACCCGGCUGGUUGAAGACCAGUCACCUAUUUAUAGGGGCGAACCCGGGGAACUGAAACAUCUAAGUACCCGGAGGAAGAGAAAAUAACAAUGAUUCCGCAAG